rnacentral:rRNA from 1 species
AGCGAACGCUGGCGGCAGGCCUAAUACAUGCAAGUCGAACGGUCCUUCGGGACAGUGGCGGACGGGUGAGUAACACGUGGGAACGUGCCUUUAGGUUCGGAACAACCAAGGGAAACUUUGGCUAAUACCGGAUAAGCCCCUUCGGGGGAAAGAUUUAUCGCCUUUAGAGCGGCCCGCGUCUGAUUAGCUAGUUGGUGGGGUAAUGGCCCACCAAGGCGACGAUCAGUAGCUGGUCUGAGAGGAUGAUCAGCCACACUGGGACUGAGACAC